UAGUGGGCUUUGCCUGCUAUCUCUUACCCAUGUCUUUUGAGUACUUACGUUUCCUCGGCGGGUCCGCCCGCCGAUUGGACAAAAUUAAACCCUUUGCAGUUGCAAUCAGCGUCUGAAAAACUUAAUAGUUACAACUUUCAACAACGGAUCUCUUGGUUCUGGCAUCGAUGAAGAACGCAGCGAAAUGCGAUAAGUAGUGUGAAUUGCAGAAUUCAGUGAAUCAUCGAAUCUUUGAACGCACAUUGCGCCCCUUGGUAUUCCAUGGGGCAUGCCUGUUCGAGCGUCAUUUGUACCUUCAAGCCUUGCUUGGUGUUGGGUGUUUGUCUCGCCUCUGCGUGUAGACUCGCCUCAAAACAAUUGGCAGCCGGCGUAUUGAUUUCGGAGCGCAGUACAUCUCGCGCUUUGCACUCAGAACGACGACGUCCAAAAGUACAUUUUUACACUCUUGACCUCGGAUCAGGUAGGGAUACCCGCUGAACUUAAGCAUAUCAAAAGGCCGGAGGAAGA
rnacentral:rRNA from 1 species